rnacentral:rRNA from 1 species
GUCUAGGGUCAUACCACUCUGAACACUCCCGAUCUUGUCUGUUCUCAGAAGUUAAGUUUGGUCAGGCCUGGUUAGUACUUGGAUGAGAUUCUGUCUGGGAACAUCAGGUGUUAUAGGAA